rnacentral:lncRNA from 1 species
GCAGCACUCUCGGGACGUCUCCACCAUGGCCUGGGCUCUGCUCCUCCUCAGCCUCCUCACUCAGGGCACAGGAUCCUGGGCUCAGUCUGCCCUGACUCAGCCUCGCUCAGUGUCCGGGUCUCCUGGACAGUCAGUCACCAUCUCCUGCACUGGAACCAGCAGUGAUGUUGGUGGUUAUAACUAUGUCUCCUGGUACCAACAGCACCCAGGCAAAGCCCCCAAACUCAUGAUUUAUGAUGUCAGUAAGCGGCCCUCAGGGGUCCCUGAUCGCUUCUCUGGCUCCAAGUCUGGCAACACGGCCUCCCUGACCAUCUCUGGGCUCCAGGCUGAGGAUGAGGCUGAUUAUUACUGCUGCUCAUAUGCAGGCAGCUACACUUUCCACAGCACAGCACCUGUGCCCUACCCUAGGAGCUCACAGCCAAGGCCAACCCCACUGUCACUCUGUUCCCGCCCUCCUCUGAGGAGCUCCAAGCCAACAAGGCCACACUAGUGUGUCUGAUCAGUGACUUCUACCCGGGAGCUGUGACAGUGGCCUGGAAGGCAGAUGGCAGCCCCGUCAAGGCGGGAGUGGAGACCACCAAACCCUCCAAACAGAGCAACAACAAGUACGCGGCCAGCAGCUACCUGAGCCUGACGCCCGAGCAGUGGAAGUCCCACAGAAGCUACAGCUGCCAGGUCACGCAUGAAGGGAGCACCGUGGAGAAGACAGUGGCCCCUACAGAAUGUUCAUAGGUUCCCAACUCUAACCCCACCCACGGGAGCCUGGAGCUGCAGGAUCCCAGGGGAGGGGUCUCUCUCCCCAUCCCAAGUCAUCCAGCCCUUCUCCCUGCACUCAUGAAACCCCAAUAAAUAUCCUCAUUGACAACC